GCCGCGGGCGGCGCCAUCGACCUCCCGGCGGGCCUCGCCACCGGAUUGCGCGGCAGGCACAAGGUCAUGGCCUUCGUCGGGAUCUUCACCGGGUUCGGCUCCGUCGGCCGCCGCCGCGCGCUCAGGCGGACGUGGCUCCCCUCCGAUCGGCAGGGUCUCCUUUUGUUGGAGGAAGCUACUGGUCUGGCAUUCAGAUUUGUGAUCGGCAAAAGCAAUGACAAGUCUAAGAUGGCAGCUCUUGAAAGAGAGGUUGAAGAAUAUGAUGAUUUUGUGCUUUUAGAUCUUGAAGAGGAGUAUAGCAGGCUUCCAUACAAAACGUUAGCAUUCUUUAAGGCUGCCUAUGCGUUGUUCGAUUCUGAUUUCUAUGUUAAAGCUGAUGAUGACAUUUACUUGAGACCAGACCAACAUACACAAAUUUUAUUUUUGUAA
rnacentral:rRNA from 1 species